rnacentral:misc_RNA from 1 species
GAAAUGCGAUAAGUAAUGUGAAUUGCAGAAUUCAGUGAAUCAUCGAAUCUUUGAACGCAUCUUGCGCUCCUUGGUAUUCUGAGGAGCAUGCCUGUUUGAGUGUCAUCAAGUUCUCAACCAUAUUGAUUUGCUUCAAUUUGGAUUGGAUAAUGGGGUUUGCAGGCCCUUCAAAGGGUCUGCUUUCCUGAAAUAAAUUAGUGGUGUCUGAGCAGAGACUUACUACUGCAGGUGUGAUAAAUUAUCUAUGCCUUUUGUAGAGAAACUGCGCAAACUGCUUCGAAUCUCAUUUGUUGACCAAUUUGACCUCAAAUCAGGUAGGACUACCCGCUGAACUUAA